CACGUAGGGGGCGAGCGUUGUCCGGAUUUAUUGGGCGUAAAGAGCUCGUAGGCGGCUCAGUAAGUCAGGUGUGAAAACUCCAGGCUCAACCUGGAGACGCCACCUGAUACUGCUGUGGCUAGAGUCCGGUAGGGGAGCAUGGAAUUCCUGGUGUAGCGGUGAAAUGCGCAGAUAUCAGGAGGAACACCUAUUGCGAAGGCAGCUCGCUGGGACGUUACUGACGCUGAGACGCGAAAGCGUGGGGAGCAAACAGG
rnacentral:rRNA from 1 species